CAAAGGAAUUGAGGGACCCGCACAAGCAGCGGAGCGUGUGGUUUAAUUCGUUGCUACACGAAGAACCUUACCUGGGUUUGACAUAUAGGUUGUAGGGAACUGAAAGGGACCGACCCUUCGGGGAGCCUAUACAGGUGUUGCAUGGCUGUCGUCAGCUCGUGUCGUGAGAUGUUCGGUUAAGUCCGCUAACGAGCGCAACCCUCGUCGUAUGUUAUAUGUGUCAUACGAGACUGCCGGUAAAAAGCCGGAGGAAGGUGAGGAUGAUGUCAAGUCAGCAUGACCUUUAUAUCCAGGGCUACACGCACGCUACAAUGGUCUGUACAAUGGGUAGCCAAGCCGCGAGGCGGAGCCAAUCCUGAAAGCAGGCCUCAGUUCAGAUUGCAGUCUGCAACUCGACUGCAUGAAGCCGGAGUUGCUAGUAACCGCAGGUCAGCAAUACUGCGGUGAAUACGUUCCCGGGUCUU
rnacentral:rRNA from 1 species